UACGGAGGGAGCUAGCGUUGUUCGGAAUUACUGGGCGUAAAGCGCGCGCAGGCGGUCUUCCAAGUCAGUGGUGAAAGCCCGGAGCUCAACUCCGGAACUGCCAUUGAAACUGUUAGACUUGAGGACGAGAGAGGUGAGUGGAAUUCCCAGUGUAGAGGUGAAAUUCGUAGAUAUUGGGAAGAACACCGGUGGCGAAGGCGGCUCACUGGCUCGUUUCGUGACGCUCGGCGCGACAGCGUGGGGAUCGAAACAGG
rnacentral:rRNA from 1 species